AACAACUAAGACAUCGCCAAAGGCAGAGUUUGACAACUUUUGUUUUAUUAUUACUAAGAAAUGGCAGAUGCAUCAAUGGAUGAACAAGAAACUCUGCCAUCCGAUGAAUAUCCUCCUGUUUUUGAGGAAGAAUGUUCUUCGGUAGCUAGUCAGGAUCGGCCAGUGCGAUCACGUCUUCAAGAAUCCAUGGACAGUGGCUACGAGGCUUCACCGGCCAGUAAUAGCUGUCAGGAAAUAUUCAAUUUCACAAUGGAUGAUUCUACAGAGGCGUAUCUUCCUGAUAACCGUCCGUGUCAGGCUGUUGUGGGUGACCAGUGGUCAGAUAUUGGUAACCAUGGAGACUCUAUUUCCCAUGAACUUGGUCUUUGUGGACAAGAUAGCCAAACUUGUGUUUGUGGUUAUGGGAAAGAUCAAACUAAUUUUUCCUUGUUUUCCUGUAGUUCCCAUGUUAUCAGCAGAGAGAACACUGAGGACCAGGAGUCUCCUAAUUCCUUAAGUCAUUCUGUUCCGAUCGUUGUGCGUCGAAAUACUUCUGGAAGUGAUCCAACCAGGGACAUUCUCUGGUCAUCUGAAAUAGUCAUACGACCUGGUUCCUAUCCACGUGAUCGUCUUCAGUUACUUCCUGAUUUUGGUCCGCCUGUAUCAUCUCCUCGUCUCCUUCAGUCCGAGAAUCACCAAACCCAUUUCGUCCACAAUCGAUAUGAUUGGACUGUCGGUGAAGGUCCGAAUCCUCAAAGUGGAAACCAAACUAUUUCGGUUGCAACUCAAACAAAUUUUGAGAUUCUACCUUAUGAUGAUCACUUAUUUGGAUCUGCUGGAACUUCGAAUGAUGAUCCAGUUUCUCCAAAUCAAGAUAGUCAUUCGUCACUAUUGCCUCACAGUACCUCCUCUAACCGACCUCUCCCAGAUGUAGUUCAGACACCAUCAUCUCGUUUUGCGGUACGUCACCGGACCCACUCUGUAAACUUACCUUUAAACCAGUGGAUACAGGAAACGGGAUUAGUACUGCGGGAAAUUAGCACAGAUUUUGAACAAAACUUGCACCAGUUUGAUCUCUUCUGCCACCACCUUCUACGAUGUGACUUCUCUGUGUGAUGGUUUAGUUAGAGAACGUCUUUAGGUACAGAAACAUCGGAUAUGAGAUGACAGCUAGAGGCUUCCUAAUAUCAUACGGAAGUGUCUGAGAGAGGUGGAAUGAUUCGCUAUUGGUUAAACCGUAUCGUCUCUUGGUUACUAAGCAACCAAGGAUCACAUGCAGUUAGACGUCGACGUCGGUAUUAUUCCACCGGUGAC
rnacentral:misc_RNA from 1 species